rnacentral:rRNA from 1 species
CCUACGGGAGGCAGCAGUGGGGGAUAUUGCACAAUGGGGGGAACCCUGAUGCAGCGACGCCGCGUGGGUGAAGAAGCGCCUCGGCGCGUAAAGCCCUGUCAGCAGGGAAGAAAAUGACGGUAACUGAAGAAGAAGCCCCGGCUAACUACGUGCCAGCAGCCGCGGUAAUACGUAGGGGGCAAGCGUUAUCCGGAUUUACUGGGUGGAAAGGGGGCGCAGACGGCGAUGCAAGCCAGGAGUGAAAGCCCGGGGCCAAACCCCGGGACUGCUCUUGGAACUGCGUGGCUGGAGUGCAGGAGGGGCAGGCGGAAUUCCUGGUGUAGCGGUGAAAUGCGUAGAUAUCAGGAGGAACACCGGUGGCGAAGGCGGCCUGCUGGACUGCAACUGACGUUGAGGCCCGAAAGCGUGGGGAGCAAACAGGAUUAGAUACCCCUGUAGUC